rfam:Loxodonta africana unplaced genomic scaffold scaffold_64, whole genome shotgun sequence.
GGCUCGUUGGUCCAGGGGUAUGAUUCUUGCCUUGGGCGCGAGAGGCCCCGGGUUCAGAUCCCGGACAAGCCC